rnacentral:rRNA from 1 species
GAUGAACGCUAGCGGCAGGCCUAAUACAUGCAAGUCGGACGGGAUAGGGGAGCUUGCUCCCCUUGAGAGUGGCGCACGGGUGCGUAACACGUAUGUAACCUACCUUUACCAGGGGGAUAGCCUCUCGAAAGAGAGAUUAAGACCGCAUAAAAUCAAAUUGCAGCAUUGCAGAAUGAUCAAAUAUUUAUAGGGUAAAGAUGGGCAUGCGGAACAUUAGCUAGNGGUAGGGUAACGGCUUACCAAGGCUACGAUGUUAGGGGAUCUGAGAGGAUCGACCCCCACCACU